rnacentral:rRNA from 1 species
GUGUCUUAAUGUAAUUAAGAAAAAAGGUAUAUUAGUACUGACACUAGCUUAUAAAUGACUUGUCAGAAAAAGGUGAAUAAUUUACUUGUAAGAAAAAUAAUUUUGAAAUUAAAUUGUUAGUAAUUUUUAAUAAAAAUAAUCUUAGACUAUAGUUAAAAGUACUGUAAAGGAAAGUAUAAAAAUUUGAAAUAGUAAGUUUAAAAUUCUGUACCUUGUGUAUCAGGGAAAGUUUAUAUAGGUUAAUGAUAUUAAACAUCUCGAAAUAAAAGAUAGCUAAUUUUAUAAAAAAUUUCUUGUAGAAAAUAAAUUUUGAAUAUAAAAUUAAAGGUGAAACGCUAAUCGAGUUUUAUAAUAUCUAGUUUUUUAAAAAUAAAUUUAAUUUAAUUUUUGCGUAGAUAAGAUGUAAAAGUAAAGUGUAGGAGGGAUUAGCUUCUUAUAAAAUAAAGUGAUUAACAGUUUGAAAAGUAAUAGUUGGUGAAUUAAGCUUAAAAGUAGCUAUAUUAAUAAAGUGUUCUAAUUAAAUCAAAGCUAGAUAACAUUUGUAAAAACUUUUUGUAGUAUUAAAAAAUUAAUUUAAAUUAAAAAAGUUAAAUUAUAAUGACUUUAUUAGUAAAAAUUUGUUGUAAACAUAAACAAUAAAAUAAUAAAAAUUAUCUAAAAUUAAUUUGGUAAUAUAAAGGAACUCGGCAAAAGUUAUUUCUUUGCCUGUUUAUCAAAAACAUGUCUGUUUGAAGUUAUAAAAAGUUUAACCUGCCCACUGAUGAAUAAAUAAAAGUUGAAUGGCCGCGGUAUCUUGACCGUGCAAAGGUAGCAUAAUCGUUAGUUUUUUAAUUGGAAUCUUGUAUGAAUGGUUGGACAAAAGAAAAUCUGUCUUUAUAUUGUUAAUUGAAUUUAACUUUUAAGUGAAAAGGCUUAAAUACAUUAAAGGGACGAUAAGACCCUAUAAAGCUUAAUAUUAAAAUUUUAUUUAGUUAAAUUAUACAUUAUAAAAACUCAGUAAUUAAAUUUAUUUUAUUGGGGCGAUAAGAGUAAAAUGAUUGUUAACUGCUUAAUUUUUGAUACAUCAUAGAUGAUUAAAUUUUUGAAUGAUCCUAGUUGAAGAUUUAAAGUUUAAGUUACUUUAGGGAUAACAGCGUUAUUUUUUUUGAGAGUGCUUAUCGAAAAAAAAGUUUGCGACCUCGAUGUUGAAUUAAAAUGUCUUUAUAAUUGCAGCAGUUAUAAAAGUAGGUCU